UACAGAGGGGGCAAGCGUUGUUCGGAAUUACUGGGCGUAAAGGGCGCGUAGGCGGCCCGCUAAGUCGAACGUGAAAGCCCGGGGCUCAACCCCGGGAGGCGGAUGGAUACUGUCAGGCUCGAGUCCGGAAGAGGCAAGUGGAAUUCCCGGUGUAGCGGUGAAAUGCGCAGAUAUCGGGAGGAACACCAAUGGCGAAGGCAGCUUGCUGGGACGGUACUGACGCUGAGACGCGAAAGCGUGGGGAGCAAACAGG
rnacentral:rRNA from 1 species